rnacentral:rRNA from 1 species
CACGUAGGGGGCGAGCGUUGUCCGGAUUUAUUGGGCGUAAAGAGCUCGUAGGCGGCUUAGUAAGUCAGGUGUGAAACCUCCAGGCUCAACCUGGAGACGCCACCUGAUACUGCUGUGGCUAGAGUCCGGUAGGGGAGCAGGGAACUCCUGGUGUAGCGGUGAAAUGCGCAGAUAUCAGGAAGAACACCAGCGGCGAAGGCGCUGCUCUGGGCCGGAACUGACGCUGAGGAGAGAAAGCGUGGGGAGCAAACAGG